rnacentral:rRNA from 1 species
CCUACGGGUUGCAGCAGUGGGGAAUAUUGCACAAUGGGGGAAACCCUGAUGCAGCCAUGCCGCGUGUGUGAAGAAGGCCUUCGGGUUGUAAGGCACUUUCAGCGGGGAGGAAGGCGAUAAGGUUAAUAACCUUGUCGAUUGACGUUACCCGCAGAAGAAGCACCGGCUAACUCCGUGCCAGCAGCCGCGGUAAUACGGAGGGUGCAAGCGUUAAUCGGAAUUACUGGGCGUAAAGCGCACGCAGGCGGUCUGUCAAGUCGGAUGUGAAAUCCCCGGGCUCAACCUGGGAACUGCAUUCGAAACUGGCAGGCUAGAGUCUUGUAGAGGGGGGUAGAAUUCCAGGUGUAGCGGUGAAAUGCGUAGAGAUCUGGAGGAAUACCGGUGGCGAAGGCGGCCCCCUGGACGAAGACUGACGCUCAGGUGCGAAAGCGUGGGGAGCAAACAGGAUUAGAUACCCGGGUAGUC